GGUACUUUUCAUUCGUUUCAAUAAAUCGAGCCUUGUUGUGUUUAACCCGUAAUCAUCGAUGAAAUACGCGUCGAACGAAUCGUCGUUAGACUGACUCGAUAUCCCAGGAAAUCCGAGAUUCCUCGUUGUUUCGAUGGUAAUAGUUUUUCGACGAUUAGUUCUGCCACUGUUUAUCGGUUUCGUUUCUCACGUUCUCUAAAUGUAAGCGUGUGCCACGAGACGUUCGAAGGGCAAAUACCGAUGAUCGAGGUAAUCGUAUCUUUUUCGCCGUUAAUGAUAAUCUCGAAUUAAGGAGAGUGUGGAAAGUGCGCAAAGCCGAAGGAAUCGCGAUGCGACAGCGCCGGGUGAUGCUCCAUUUGCACCGGCAACGGCAACAGAAAGGACAAGACGUUCGAAGAGCAAGAUAGACGGAAAUAGAAGGUUUCUAAAGGAACAAGUUGGCUCGUGGUUAGAUAGGAUCGUAGUUAAUUCCGAAACAGUCGGGUAGGGGGACGCUGUCAUUGCUGUUUGAACAUUUAAAACUAGCGCGCGUUUUAGCGGAACACUCGUGUUCUGAUUGGUGGCAUCGUUUGUUGUUUACCAACGUCAGUGUGCGGUCAAACUGGGAACCUCGAUUGUUCUAAGAAGAGAGGGAGGGAUAAAAAAGGAGAGAAAGAGCCACGAGCGCGUUCCUUGAAGGUAAUAGAGAGAUAGAAAGAGAGAGAGUAUACAGGAGAACGCGUGCUCUCGUGCGAGGUAAAAGAAGAAGAAGAAGAAGAAGGAACGAGUCUAAGAAAGAGAGGUAAGCAAUAACGGGCAAGUGGGCGCACGAGAUGCAUUCCAGAUGGACGAUGACGCCGCACAGUCUGUAAGACUCGCGUGGUUUCUCCAUUGUAUCGCGUUUAUCCGUGAUUGCCGUGUCAGGACGUAUCGACGAUCUUUGGGUGGGUUAUGACGCGCGCUUAACGCGUUGCGUGUGCACGAAUAGAAGCGAGAGCGUGUGUCGAUCCUGUGUACAACAUGGAGUCCGACACGGCGACCGACUGGUCGUCGCCGAGAAAAGGCUCCCUCGAGACAUCGAUGCCGAGGAAAUUCCGCAAGGAUUCCUGUCGAACCGAGGGUGCAACACUCAAUUGGGCGAUGUGCGCCCUCUGUAUUACCAGCUUGGCUGUGUCCGGUCUACUAAUGUACAGGGAACUGGGAUUGGAAUCGAGGAUCGCCAAUUUGGAAACUCGUUGUCAGCUUCAAGAAACGCCGGACGUUCUUAUCCAGAGGCUGAAGAGGGAAGUUCAGGAACAGUUGGAGGUGCAGCGGUCUGCGUUGGAGACGAGCGUGUUUCGGAUCAAACGAGACGUUUCGGAGUGCAACUGUCCACCAGGUCCUCCCGGUGAGCCUGGAAAACGAGGGAAAAAAGGGAAAAAGGGCGACCCUGGGGAACCAGGCCCGCAGGGUGUGGCCGGGACGCCGGGCAAGAACGGUUUUCCGGGACCUAUUGGGUUAGAUGGACCAAAAGGUGAGCCGGGGCGACCGGGAGAGAAAGGGCAGAAAGGAGAGCUUGGCAGUCCUGGUUUCGAUGUCUUUUCCGCAGUAAAGGGACUUCAGGAGCAAGGGCAUAAUAUCUCAGCGCAGACCAUCAUACAACUGAAAGGAGAGCCAGGCGAGCCUGGACCACCGGGGCCACCCGGUCCUCCGGGUGCCGAGGGUCUUCCCGGCCACGAGGGAAGGCAAGGAGCUCCGGGUGACGUUGGGCCGCCGGGUGAAAAGGGAACUCCGGGAUCGAUUGGGCCGAUUGGUCCACCUGGUACAUCGGGACUUCCGGGUCCUAAGGGUGACAAGGGUGAUAGAGGCGACCGAGGUAUAACAACGUCUUUGAACGGGGAACCAUUUGCAACUGGAGUAUUCGAAGGACCCCCUGGUCCACCAGGACCACCUGGGCCCCAGGGCGAGAAGGGGGAGCUGGGUCCGACGGGACCACCCGGUCUGCCGGGAGAGAAGGGUGCCCGGGGAAAGCAAGGGAAGAGGGGUUUCAAGGGUGAGAGCGGUGUGGCAUUGAUGAGAGGCCCACCCGGUCUACCGGGUCCAAAGGGUGAUCCCGGGGAACGGGGUUACCGAGGCGAUAAAGGAACCAAGGGAGACACGGGCUCACCAGGACCAAAGGGAGAGCAAGGACAACCUGGUUUACCUGGGCUCAAUGGAACGGAUGGAGAGACUGGUAUACAGGGUCCUCCAGGGUUGCCAGGAAUUUCUGGACCCAAAGGUGAAAAAGGUGACUACGGAGAUAUUGGACCUCCAGGACUUAUGGGGCCACCAGGUUUGCCUGGUCCACCGGGUUAUCCAGGAUUGAAAGGUGAAAAAGGGGAGAAAGGUGAAUCGAAAUACAAGAAACUUAGGAGAAGGCAGGGUGACGGCACGUUUGAAGUAAACGCUGGCGAAGUGAUAAUGGGACCACCGGGACCACCAGGCCCAGCUGGUACUCCUGGGCUCCAAGGUCCACCUGGCAUAAAAGGCGACCGAGGCCACGAUGGUGCCAAAGGCGAUCCUGGAGAGAAGGGUGCCAAAGGAGAUCCUGGUCCAAUGGGACUACCCGGCCCCAUGGGACUGAGAGGAGAGUCCGGAAAACCCGGGGAUGCCGGGAAACCUGGUGCCAUGGGGCCACCAGGAUUAGACGGCAUGAAGGGUGCACAAGGAGAACCAGGGACAAAGGGAGAAAGAGGGGAUCCUGGCCUACCUGGUACCGAUGGAAUUCCUGGCGCGGAGGGACCGAAGGGAGAGAAAGGUGCUAAAGGCGAAUCUGGACCGCCGGGGAAACGGGGUAGGAAAGGCGACAAAGGCAACAAAGGAGAUCAGGGUGUACCCGGCCUCGAUGCUCCCUGUCCAUUAGGGGCCGACGGACUUCCGCUGGCAGGAUGCGGUUGGAGGCCACCCCAGCAGGACAUCACUAGCACCUCGAUACCAGCUGUCGAAGGUCCUGAACCUGCAGAAACGGAUUACGAGGAGCCGGAAGAGGAAUACGAGGAGUAUACGGAUCCGAAUGGAAAUCUAGCCGAGCAAUAAUUGCUCGUUGUGCGCUGCCCUAAUCACUACCAACAACUACCACCACUACUACCACUACCAUCACCACUACAACCACCAAUACCACCACAGCCAUCGCCCUCAUCACUCGUCUCACCUUGCUCUCCCAAACUAACGUGGUCCUGAGAAGAAGGAAUAUUCUUCACGAUUGGCUAGAAGAGGAGGCGCAAAAGGAGGAAGGGCAGUGAUACAAACGCAUUAAAAGAAGAUAGUACAUAUUUUCGAGGACCUCUGUGUGUAUACUCCAUCGUAAAAAAAAAAAAGAAAAAGAGAAAGAAAAAAAAAAACAAAAAAACAAAAAAAAUUUAUCCAGUUUAACGCGAACUAGAAUCGAGUUAUUUGAGAAAAAGAAAUAUAUAUAUUUUUUUACAUAUAUAUAUAUUUUUUUUUCUUUUUUUGGCAUAAUCAUGUAUGCCAGAAAUGAUCCUCUUGCCAUCGGGUGUUGUAAAUAAGUGUACUUACAGUGUUUAGCGUCCGCAAAUAGUGCGUGUACAUAAGUAUUUAGAGCUUAUUACCGGAAAUGCGGUUAGAACGACAUCAUAAUUUUAUCGACAAUUUGUUUAUAAUUGUAAACGUAAAUACCGGUAAUUUAUAAAUUACUUUAAUUAUAAGUAAGAGAGAGAGAGAGAGAGAGAGAGAGAGAGAGAGAGAGAGAGAGAGAGAGAGAGAAAAUACCGAAUUAUAUCAAAUAUCGUUCGCACAACGUAACAUAGCAACGUUAUAGCAAAGUUCUAAAACAAUAGACAAUUUAUUGAUCUAUUAAUAUGAUUAUCAAUUGUGUUCUUUUUUUUUUUUUUUUUAUAUAUAAAUACUACGUGAAUUCUACGUGAAAAAUAAAUUUGUCUCUUCGUUCGUUAUAUGAACGAGAAUAUUUCGAGAAAGCAGAAAAUGUAAAACGUUUGAGAUCUUUUCAAAUUGUCUUAUUCUAUUUUUUUUAAAUAAUCUUUUCAAAAUUAAUUUGAAAAAGAAAAUUGAAACCUUUUAAAAUAUUAAAAAAAAAAAAAAAUUAUAUC